AGUGAACGCUGGCGGUAGGCCUAACACAUGCAAGUCGAACGGCAGCACAGUAAGAGCUUGCUCUUACGGGUGGCGAGUGGCGGACGGGUGAGGAAUACAUCGGAAUCUACUUUUUCGUGGGGGAUAACGUAGGGAAACUUACGCUAAUACCGCAUACGACCUACGGGUGAAAGCAGGGGAUCUUCGGACCUUGCGCGAAUGAAUGAGCCGAUGUCGGAUUAGCUAGUUGGCGGGGUAAAGGCCCACCAAGGCGACGAUCCGUAGCUGGUCUGAGAGGAUGAUCAGCAACACUGGAACUGAGACACGGUCCAGACUCCUACGGGAGGCAGCAGUGGGGAAUAUUGGACAAUGGGCGAAAGCCUGAUCCAGCCAUACCGCGUGGGUGAAGAAGGCCUUCGGGUUGUAAAGCCCUUUUGUUGGGAAAGAAAAGCAGCAGAUUAAUACCCCGCUGUUCUGACGGUACCCAAAGAAUAAGCACCGGCUAACUUCGUG
rnacentral:rRNA from 1 species